AGAGUUUGAUCCUGGCUCAGAUUGAACGCUGGCGGCAUGCCUUACACAUGCAAGUCGAACGGCAGCGCGGGGCAACCUGGCGGCGAGUGGCGAACGGGUGAGUAAUAUAUCGGAACGUACCCUGGAGUGGGGGAUAACGUAGCGAAAGUUACGCUAAUACCGCAUACGAUCUAAGGAUGAAAGUGGGGGAUCGCAAGACCUCAUGCUCCUGGAGCGGCCGAUAUCUGAUUAGCUAGUUGGCGGGGUAAAAGCCCACCAAGGCAACGAUCAGUAGCUGGUCUGAGAGGACGACCAGCCACACUGGAACUGAGACACGGUCCAGACUCCUACGGGAGGCAGCAGUGGGGAAUUUUGGACAAUGGGCGCAA
rnacentral:rRNA from 1 species